AGUAAAGAAGUAAAAUAUUACAUUUAGUUUCGACCUAAAAUUAGGGAAUUAUUAAAUUAUCCCCUUACUU
rnacentral:tRNA from 1 species